rnacentral:rRNA from 1 species
UACAGAGGUCUCAAGCGUUGUUCGGAUUCAUUGGGCGUAAAGCGUGCGCAGGCGGUGAUGUAAGACAGAUGUGAAAUCCCCGGGCUCAACCUGGGAACUGCAUUUGUGACUGCAUAGCUAGAGUACGGUAGAGGGGGAUGGAAUUCCUAGUGUAGAGGUGAAAUUCGUAGAUAUUAGGAAGAACACCGGUGGCGAAGGCGGCCCACUGGAUCGGUACUGACGCUGAGGUGCGAAAGCGUGGGGAGCAAACAGG